GGGGAUGUGCCUUUGGGCUUUAUAUUUGGUUUCUGGUGAGCAGAGCUCUCUCUCUCUGCUUCCUCGUUAUCAUGUCCUAAGCUGAUUUCCUCCUCCACUGAGACAUUCUGCAUCACCUUGGGCUCAUAGUAAUGGAGUUGGUUAUCUAUGGAUUAAGAUCUCUGAAAUGCACUGUCAUGACCCUACUUCUGCCAAGAGAAGACAGAGCUUCAUGAGCCUUCCCUACUGCCGACUGUGGUGUGAGUGCUUCUGGACGCUGAACUUCACAUGCUGGCCUCCAGGGGUCCCUGAGAAGGAAGAUGAAGGAGCUGUCUCUGUAUCACGUUGGAGCCUGGAACCUGACAUCACCUAAUUUGAAGUGACUAUGAGGAAGGAUCUCACCUAUGCAACCUAAGAGGACUCCAAAAGGAACCUAUGUUCACCUGUAAGUCUACCGGUCAAGUGAGACUGAAGAAGAACACAGAGUGAAGGCCGCCAUAGUGAGUAUCAGGAGAGGCCCCAGGGAACCUUUUGUUCCUCCUGAGACUACUGUUAUCCUGUUUCCACAAGUCGGGCACCUGAGGCUGGAUGUAUUCAAGGACAGAGCAGGUCCCAUCUGAGUCUGGGAAUAGAGGGUCUUCCAGUGCCCACUAAGCCAAAUGUUGCCUUUCUGCUCCUUGGCCACAGGUCUGUCCACUGGAUAGAAUGGGCCCAUGGUUCAAGGAGCCACCAGACACCAUUCACUGGGUUGUCCCUGGACUAGAGAGUCAGCCAAUGUGGUUUUGACUUGGAAAAAUGCUAUAAUAGUCUUCCUCUCAAUAAGCUAAUCUCAUGGAAUGUGCAGAAGGAAAAGACCACCAGUAUAAGGUAGUGGAAGAAAGGGUAGGACAGCAAUUGUCAUGCUUUCUUCUCUUCUCUGAACAGAAUCCGUGAACAACUGCAAAUAGGUCAUGGUUCCAUGACAGAAGAGUGAGCCCUUCUGCUUCCAAGGGGCUUGGGGCAGGGUCCUUCUAACUCAGCUUGGUGUCUUCAUCUGAUAAUGCUGCUUCAUUGGUGCCCUAUCAAAAUCAUGUCUUUGCCAAGCCUGGUGGCACAUGCCUAUAAUCCCUAAUCCCCAUGGCUUGGGAGGCUGAGACAGGAGGAUUGUGAGUUCAAAGAUGGCCUCAGCAAUUUAGCCAGGGCCUAAGCAAUGAAGAGUUAUGGAAAAUAAGUCCAAGGACAUUUGUCUUAAGCUUUUGUCAUUUAAAAUCGCAGGCCUCAGCCAGAGCAAGGAACACAAAAGAAACUCCACCAGACUGGUACCUAACCUCCUACCCUAAUGGGUCAAUUAAUGCCAAUACAAUAAGCCCCAGGGAAUACCCUAUUUAUAUUCCUGUCCCACCCUAAAGGAAGCCUAUAUAACCCAGACCUUGCUUCAGCAGGCCACCAUUUUCUGGAUUAUGAAAUACCAAAAUGAGCCUCACCAGGUUUCCACCAAUUGACUCACUGCUAAAUACCGAAUAAAAAAAGCCUGCUGAUCCGAGGUUUGUUUCCCAUCUCCUGCCUUCCAUCAUGGGUGCAUCGUUUGUCCUAACGAGCAACUCAUUGAGACCCUAUCUCUAAAUAAAAUAUAUAUUAAA